ACGGGUGAGUAACGCGUGGGAAUCUACCGUGCCCUGCGGAAUAGCUCCGGGAAACUGGAAUUAAUACCGCAUACGCCCUACGGGGGAAAGAUUUAUCGGGGUAUGAUGAGCCCGCGUUGGAUUAGCUAGUUGGUGGGGUAAAGGCCUACCAAGGCGACGAUCCAUAGCUGGUCUGAGAGGAUGAUCAGCCACAUUGGGACUGAGACACGGCCCAAACUCCUACGGGAGGCAGCAGUGGGGAAUAUUGGACAAUGGGCGCAAGCCUGAUCCAGCCAUGCCGCGUGAGUGAUGAAGGCCUUAGGGUUGUAAAGCUCUUUCACCGGAGAAGAUAAUGACGGUAUCCGGAGAAGAAGCCCCGGCUAACUUCGUGCCAGCAGCCGCGGUAAUACGAAGGGGGCUAGCGUUGUUCGGAAUUACUGGGCGUAAAGCGCACGUAGGCGGAUAUUUAAGUCAGGGGUGAAAUCCCAGAGCUCAACUCUGGAACUGCCCUUGAUACUGGGUAUCUUGAGUAUGGAAGAGGUAAGUGGAAUUCCGAGUGUAGAGGUGAAAUUCGUAGA
rnacentral:rRNA from 1 species